GAUGAACGCUGGCGGCGUGCCUAAUACAUGCAAGUCGAGCGAACAGACGAGGAGCUUGCUCCUCUGACGUUAGCGGCGGACGGGUGAGUAACACGUGGAUAACCUACCUAUAAGACUGGGAUAACUUCGUGAAACCGGAGCUAAUACCGGAUAAUAUAUUGAACCGCAUGGUUCAAUAGUGAAAGACGGUUUUGCUGUCACUUAUAGAUGGAUCCGCGCCGCAUUAGCUAGUUGGUAAGGUGACGGCUGACCAAGGCAACGAUGCGUAGCCGACCGGGGAGGGUGAUCGGCCACACUGGAACUGAGACACGGUCCAGACUCCUACGGGAGGCAGCAGUAGGGAAUCUUCCGCAAUGGGCGAAAGCCUGACGGAGCAACGCCGCGUGAGUGAUGAAGGUCUUCGGAUCGUAAAACUCUGUUAUUAGGGAAGAACAAAUGUGUAAGUAACUAUGCACGUCUUGACGGUACCUAAUCAGAAAGCCACGGCUAACUACGUG
rnacentral:rRNA from 1 species